rnacentral:rRNA from 1 species
AUUGAACGCUGGCGGCAGGCCUAACACAUGCAAGUCGAACGGUAACAGGAAGAAGCUUGCUUCUUUGCUGACGAGUGGCGGACGGGUGAGUAAUGUCUGGGUAACUGCCUGAUGGAGGGGGAUAACUACUGGAAACGGUAGCUAAUACCGCAUAACGUCGCAAGACCAAAGAGGGGGACCUUCGGGCCUCUUGCCAUCGGAUGUGCCCAGAUGGGAUUAGCUAGUUGGUGGGGUAACGGCUCACCAAGGCGACGAUCCCUAGCUGGUCUGAGAGGAUGACCAGCCACACUGGAACUGAGACACGGUCCAGACUCCUACGGGAGGCAGCAGUGGGGAAUAUUGCACAAUGGGCGCAAGCCUGAUGCAGCCAUGCCGCGUGUAUGAAGAAGGCCUUCGGGUUGUAAAGUACUUUCAGCGGGGAGGAAGGGAGUAAAGUUAAUACCUUUGCUCAUUGACGUUACCCGCAGAAGAAGCACCGGCUAACUCCGUGCCAGCAGCCGCAGUAA